rnacentral:sRNA from 1 species
AACCCCCAGUUAGACUGGUGGUUCCGUUUAGCUUUAGCGAUGAGAAACUAUUAAAAAAAUCCUCCUUUGUAUAUAAUUAAUCUGUGGUCUGGCAACUACAAAUUAAUAUUAAAAGGCACAAAGGA